ACUCCUACGGGAGGCAGCAGCGACGAAUCUUCCGCAAUGCACGAAAGUGUGACGGAGCAAUGCCGCGUGUGGGAUGAAUCGGCUCUGCCGUGUAAACCACUGUCAGGAGCUAGUAAUACUGAACAGCUCCAGAGGAAGGGCCGGCUAACCUCGUGCCAGCAGCCGCGGUAAUACGAGGGGCCCGAGCGUUAUUCGGAAUCACUGGCUUAAAGGGAACGCAGGCUGGCUCGAAAGCAUCUCGUGAAAUCCCCGCUGCACGGAACGUACGGGUGGAAUGCGAGCCUUGAGGUGGGUAGAGGUCAUCGGAACGAUCGGUGGAGCGGUGAAAUGCGUAGAUAUCGAUCGGAACGCCAAAGGUGAAGACAGGUGACUGGGCCCAUUCUGACGCUCAUGUUCGAAAGCGU
rnacentral:rRNA from 1 species